rnacentral:rRNA from 1 species
UAAGCGGAGGAAAAGAAACUAACUAAGAUUGCCUUAGUAACGGCGAGUGAAGUGGCAAAAGCCCAAACUGGAAAUCUUCAUGCUUCGCAUGACGAAUUGUAAUCUAAAGAGUAGAAGCUCACCGGUAGGUCUCGCAGAAGUGCCUUAGAACGGGCCGCCAGAGAGGGUGACAGCCCCGUAUGUGGUGAGACUUGCUAACGAGCUCUGCUUGAAGAGUCGGGUAGUUUUGAAUUGCUGCCCUAAGUGGGAGAUAGACUUCUUCUAAGGCUAAAUACAUGUGGGAAACCGAUAGCGAACAAGUACUGUGAAGGAAAGAUGAAAAGAACUUUGAAAAGAGAGUUAAAAGACUUGAAAUCGUUGAGAAGGAAGCGGUAGAAAAUUAUUCUCUGCGGUAGCAAAGUGUUCCACACGAGUAUUACGGGUGUAUAGUACGUCAAAGGCUUGCAUUCGUACGUGCUUGUUGGAUUGCGGAGCUCACGCAGUGAGGCAAAAUGAGGUGUUGAAUCCACAAAAGCUUCUAGGAUUUGGGACUCUUCGGAGUCCAUUCCUGGUCUGCUGGUGGGCUUAGCGCCUGAGGAUGCUCUGUGCGAUUUUGCCAAAAUGGUUUUUACCGACCCGUCUUGAAACACGGACCAAGGAGUCUAAC